rnacentral:rRNA from 1 species
GACGAACGCUGGCGGCGUGCUUAACACAUGCAAGUCGAACGGAAAGGCCCUGCUUUUGUGGGGUGCUCGAGUGGCGAACGGGUGAGUAACACGUGAGUAACCUGCCCUUGACUUUGGGAUAACUUCAGGAAACUGGGGCUAAUACCGGAUAGGAGCUCCUGCUGCAUGGUGGGGGUUGGAAAGUUUCGGCGGUUGGGGAUGGACUCGCGGCUUAUCAGCUUGUUGGUGGGGUAGUGGCUUACCAAGGCUUUGACGGGUAGCCGGCCUGAGAGGGUGACCGGCCACAAUGGGACUGAGAUACGGGCCAGACUCCUACGGGAGGCAGCAGUGGGGAAUAUUGCACAAUGGGCGGAAGCCUGAUGCAGCGACGCCGCGUGCGGGAUGACGGCCUUCGGGUUGUAAACCGCUUUCGCCUGUGACGAAGCGUGAGUGACGGUAAUGGGUAAAGAAGCACCGGCUAACUACGUG